rnacentral:rRNA from 1 species
UACGUAGGGGGGCAAGCGUUUGUCCGGAUUUAUUGGGCGUAAAGAGCGUGUAGGCGGCCAGGGAGGUCCGUUGUGAAAACUCGAGGCUCAACCUCGAGACGCCGAUGGAAACCCCCUGGCUAGAGUCCGGAAGAGGAGAAUGGAAUUCCUGGUGUAGCGGUGAAAUGCGCAGAUAUCAGGAAGAACACCCCGUGGCUAAGGCGGUUCUCUAGUACGGUACUGACGCUGAGACGCGAAAGCGUGGGGAGCGAACAGG